CGGACGGGUGAGUAACACGUGGAUAACCUACCUAUAAGACUGGGAUAACUUCGGGAAACCGGAGCUAAUACCGGAUAAUAUUUUGAACCGCAUGGUUCAAAAGUGAAAGACGGUCUUGCUGUCACUUAUAGAUGGAUCCGCGCUGCAUUAGCUAGUUGGUAAGGUAACGGCUUACCAAGGCAACGAUGCAUAGCCGACCUGGGAGGGUGAUCGGCCACACUGGAACUGAGACACGGUCCAG
rnacentral:rRNA from 1 species